UACGGUAGGUGGCAAGCGUUUGUUCCGGAUUAUUGGGGUUUAAAGGGUGCGUAGGCGGCCUUGUAAGUCAGUGGUGAAAUACUCCAGCUUAACUGGAGGGGUGCCAAUGAUACUGCGAGGGCUUGAGUACAGAUGGAGGUAGGCGGAAUUGACGGUGUAGCGGUGAAAUGCAUAGAUAUCGUCAAGAACACCGAUAGCGGAAGGCAGCUUACGUGGGCUGUAACUGACGCUGAGGCACGAAAGUGUGGGGGAUCAAACAGG
rnacentral:rRNA from 1 species